UUGCUGCUAUCGAGGUUCGACUAAGCCAUGCGAGUCGAAUGUAGCAAUACAUGGCGUACUGCUCAGUAACACGUGGACAACCUACCCUCAGGUCGGGGAUAAACCCGGGAAACUGGGUAUAAUACCCGAUAGAUCUCGGCUGCUGGAAUGCAUCGAGAUCUAAAGCCCCGGCGCCUGAGGAUGGGUCUGCGGCCUAUCAGGUAGUAGUGGGUGUAGCGUACCUACUAGCCUACGACGGGUACGGGUUGUGAGAGCAAGAGCCCGGAGAUGGAUUCUGAGACACGAAUCCAGGCCCUACGGGGUGCAGCAGGCGCGAAAACUUUACAAUGCCGGCAACGGCGAUAAGGGGACCUCGAGUGCCAGGUUACAAAUCUGGCUGUCGUGAUGCCUAAAAAGCAUUGCAUAGCAAGGGCCGGGCAAGACCGGUGCCAGCCGCCGCGGUAACACCGGCGGCUCGAGUGGUAACCGUUAUUAUUGGGUCUAAAGGGUCUGUAGCCGGCCGGAUAAGUCUCUUGGGAA
rnacentral:rRNA from 1 species